GCUGGGGCUACCUCUUCUUAAUGAGCCUUCUGCCUUGGGGCAGGCUCUGAGAAAUCCUGCUGCACUACACCAACUGUCUUGUCACCAGUUCAGACUGGGGAGGUUCACUUGAUAUUCAGGCGGAGUGAAGAAGAGACAUAGAAUCAUAAGAUUGUCUAAACAUGCCUUCAUUUUCAGUUGCUCAGCUCAGCCACGUGCACUUUUGUGUCAGUCCUCAGGCCCCUAGCAUGCUCAUUCUCGAAGCAGUCCUCAGCUACUUAGUCUCCCCCAACAGCCCUUAUGGCAGUCCACAUUUAUCCCAAAGUACACAGUAGCAUAAUGACAUUGGUUCUGUAAGUUAUUUACACCGGCCAGCAUCAACAUUGACUACAGAAGUUAUUCACAUUGGAACAUCGAGAGAUGUACCUGCACUGGAGCUCUGUUGACACAGAACUCCCCCAGCCCAGAUCCCUUCCCUUCACAGCCUGAACCAAAGUACUGCCAUCUUGUGCUUCCAGGUCUCCCUACACACAGCGUUUUACACCUUCAUUCUUUUUCACAGAACACAGUACAGGUGUAGUGACUAAGUAAAGUCACUCCUUGGGGAAGUGAACAAAGAUGUUCAGAGUAGAAACAGUGCACAGACCAAACAGAUACCUUGGAGGCAGGAAGAUGCUCCAAGUCAGGUGGGCAUGAGGAUUCAAAGCCCGUUGCAUGGGAGCCCUUUUCCCUGGCAAAGGAGGUGCAACCAAAUGCUGAUCAGCCCCUCAGAGAAGACAGGGACAUGUGUGUGUGUGUGUGUGUGCAUAUACAAGCAAGUAGGCAUCCCGGAGGCUAUGUGACCUAUUAGUAUUUCCUGUUCGUUUUUCAUUCUGUUCUCAUUUUUGAGAACAGGGAAUAUGACUAGAAAAAUAAUUUAACGUUACUUCAUGGAGAGUUGGACGUGAAGCCCUGCUCCGCACCUGUGGGAGGUUUGUGGGAUGGUCCAUCAUGGAGGACACAGCCCCUGUCUUGACCAUUUCAGAGUGAUUUCCCUGCACCCUUACAGGAAGCAGAGAGAAUUGGCUAGAAUUCAACAAGCAAGAGUGUUCAUCUGGCACACCUGGUUUCCUAGAUAUUUCUCUGAUGUUAUGAGCCUGGUGUGUUGGGAGAGCUCUCCAGACCAAAGGAGGAGCUCCCAGAGGGAAGGGCACCAACUGUUCUGGCUUGCCUUUAGAUAUCCUGCCGAAGCUUCAUGUGAUCAUAGGUGGGGCUUUUCAGAGGUAGCUGGAUCUAGGAUGUAUGAUGCUGGGAUUAAAUGUGUGAUGCUGGGAUUAAGAAUGUGUGGUCACUAAAUUAGUUCAACCAACUAAAUUGGUUUGGCAUAGUUUUGGGUGUGAACAAUGGGAAGGCCCCUCCCUGGGUGUGAGUGCUACCCACCCUAAGGGUGUGUAGCCUCAGUAGAAUAUAAGGGACAUAGAGAGGGCUGCUGCUAUUGUUUGCUGCUUUUGCUGCCUUCUGCCUUUCAUGCUAGGAUUUUUUUCUUCUUUUCUGUGACGCCCCUUGGCCAUGUCACCCUGCCUUGGAGCCAGCCAACUAUGGGCUGAAACCUAUAAACUGUGACCCAAAAUAAAUCUUUUUUCCUUUAACUCUGGGUGUUGGGUGGAACUUUUGUAUCAGCAACAAGAAAAGUAACUAAGACACUAAUACUCUUAAACGCACUGGAAGGGGAGGGAAAGAGUGGGUUCAUGGCUGUCCCCAAAAGGAAGCUGGUAGUGGUUUCCAGUGAAGACUAGAAGAAGAUGAACCAGCAGCUCCACAGAGUUGGAAGUGGCAGGGUGCUUUCGUUGGGAUGUGCUGUGGGUUGAGAUUGAAUGGAGCCCAGAAGGUAAAAGAGCUGGCUCCCAGUAAUCACGUGUGUUGCACACCUCCAUGGGAACAGACUCUAAUGUUUGUAGGAUGCCUAAUAUGGGCCAGAUGCUGCACUAGGUGACUGUCUUGGACACUGUACAUUUUCUCAAAAAUCUCUUACCCUUUUUUUAAUGGUCACUAUUUGUAGCAUUCCUUUAUUCAAAUGAAAAUUAAACUUAUUUUUAGGAGAUCAAUUGAAUUAACUACAUAAUGAAAAAAGGGCCAAACCUUGUCAUCUUAAAGCCACAAGCCAUUAUGUUUUGAUAAACAUAGAAAUGUGACUCAAAAUUGCAUGCUUGGACUCAUUUAUUAAGAUAAAUCCUGGGUGACACACUAAACUGUCCUUUCACUGAAAAUAUUUGUGUUGGCCUCUGGGAAAACAUCCAGACUGUAGAAAGGGGUGAAUUAGAAGGUACAGAGCUUGGGGUCAUUGACUGCAUAAGGGAUCUACCUUUUCCCACCUUCACUGUGGUCGAAUUUAGUGUCAGGACUGAGUAUAGAUCACCCAAAGCAGAACCAGCAUGGUUACUUAUCCCCCAAGCCUGAUAGAACAAGGGAGCCAGUCACCAUCACUUGCCUUUAGCAGAGACCCAAGGGAAAAGCUCCAUCGUUCCAAGAGGAGAUUCAGGUGUCCCCAGAACCAGAGGCUCUUGGUGUGUGGGAGCUGUAAGUGGCUAACCUGAUGCAAGGUAACCUAUGUGAUUGGCUAGAGGAGCAGCUCUGGUUUUCUCUGGUUAGUCCUAUUAAAUUUUUGCAGGGGCAAAAAUUAGGGGAGCUGGCAGAUGUUGAUCAAGUCCUGGCCAUGUGGGGCUCAAUUGCUACAGAGUUGUUUGACUUCCUGCAGGUUGUGGGGCUGAAUCCUAUAUCUACAUGGGCUGGUGACUGUCAGUAUGUGCCAGACCUCAUCAUGAAACCACCAGGUAUUAUAAAAUGAGAUACAAUGCAAAGUAAGUACACAGAGUCACCUGUAAUGUGUCCUUGCCCACCCCACCCCCCAAAUGUUUACUGGGAUCUCAUCAAGAUUCUAAAUAGCUGAAUUAUCAAAACUUUUUAUCUACGAAAACUUCAACAAAAGAAAUGUGAAAAACUUGAAAAAAAAUUAAAAAGUUGAAACAAGCCAUAAACCCCAAAGUCACAUAGAAAACAAUAUGGCGGAUCACACUGUAGUACAACAGUGUUCAGUGUUCAGUGGAGAUUGAACAAAGAGCAAGACAACGAUUAGCAGAAAAACUAAAACAUCCAUCUAUUUUUACAGGUUAAUCCAUCUGAAUGUGCUUUAAUUCAUCUCACUGUAAAUUAUAUUUUGAAUGUAUUAAAAGUGACUUUUAAUCAGAAACAGCCCCACCAGCCUCCGUUCUCCACUACUUUAGCCACAGCAUUAAAGAGAUCAGGCAGAAAAUUCCUCAUUUCAGAGUUGCCUCAUCAUUUCUUCAUUCUAAAAUUCCUAUAAACUGGUACCUUUGAUUAAUCAUUUUAUUUUGAUCUCUCUCUCCCCUCUCUUGGAGAACACUUGGCUCUACCCACUUGAGUUUGGCAUCAUCCCAAGGCCAUUGCUCCUCCCACAGUUACAGAAAGAUCACAGUGAACUCAGAAACACACACUUGUUGAGAGCUCCGGACUCAGCGCUCUUAAUCAUGCCUGUCAAUCUUGUUUAGAGACCCGGGGAGAGACACCUGAGCUGGGCUGCACCUUCUUCAAAAUCUGAAAGCUUCAUUCCUCUGUGUGCUUUUGCUUUCCCUGGCAUCCCAGCUCCAUUUCUCUGUUCAUGCCGCAUUUUUGUUUUCCUGAUGGCACGGGUCUGCCCAGGGCACAUUUUCUUGUUUUCUCAGUAAAUGCAGCUGCUUUGUCCUUAACACUGGAUGAUGUAUGCUUGCACUUCUUUGCUUGCCAUAUAAAAGAGCCUGGAGGCUAUCUGUUGGGUCUAUCCCACAGUAUUGGUUUGUCCCGGUUAUCCAUAGAAGGCAUGUCUCACACAACCACAGCCCUCUUUAUGAUUCGAGUUUUCCAGAAUGUGGCCAGGAGGGCUAUGUAUCUGGCAGCAGGGGAGUCUGAAAACGCACACCUGCGUUUGUAGCUUGGGGAAGCAGAGACCAGCUAUGUGGAAAAUUUCCUAAGUGGAGGAAGGUGUCCAAAAAGAUGCUGGGCAGCUUCAGAUGACAGACAUGCAACAGGAACUGAACAUCCCCAAGUAAGAGAGAGACAGUGGGGCAUUCAGAGCGUGCAAUUCCAGGCAGCCAGUUUUGAAACAGUUCAGUGGUGUGAAAAAAUCUCAAAACCUGUUACGUGAAGAUAUACAGAGCCAUAUAUCUAGGAUGGUCUCAAUGUUUCAAAGGUUGCGUAGGGGAAAAGACCAGCACAUUGGGCUCAUACAGGCCCCUCCAAGAAACAGAUGCCGACCUAGGAUGUUUCUUAGGGAAGCCAGCAGGGUAGGUGGAGCCCUGAGCAGGGAGCAAGGGAAGAAGGUCCAAGUCGGGGAGAGUCUCCUACAGGACAACUAUGAGAAAGCCUCGCCCACGCACAAAAACACAUUCCUUCCAAAACAGCCCGGGUGGCCCAGGACAAGGGUGGCCUUGGGGCUCACAGGGCGGUGGCUGGACAACAGCGGUGUGCAGGGAGUCCUGUGCCCACAGUGAGUUCUCUCAAGGAAGACCCUAGUAGCACAUCUUCGUGGCUACUGUAACACAGUGACAGAAGGGAGGGCGGAGACAUCAGAGACUGAGCUGUGCUUCUUUGUGCACCAGAAGCUUUUUUCUUCUUUUCUUUUUUUUUGAGACAAGGUCUCACUAUGUUGUUCAGUCUGGCCUCAGACUUGCGGCAAUCCUCCUGCCUCAGCAUCCCUAGUACUGGGAUUUCAGGUAUGCAUCAGCAUAGCAGUGCUUGUUAAGACUGCCCAAGUAACCCAUUUGUGGCUCGCUCUUGUAAGUCAUUUCUAACGACACAUAUUGUGUGAUGACCGUCACUUUCAAAUGUGCAGACUGGACAUCCUACAGUGAUCACCUACACAGCCAGACUUCAGGUCCUGAGCUGAGCCCCACCACGGAGGCCUGGGAGGGAAGCCCAGCCCGACUGGUUCCGUUACAUCUUUGCCUUCCUUACUAACUCUCCACCUUCAUAUUCUCUUCCCCUACAUACCACUUUUAAAGUCCAUUUCACAGACUGGUUUUGCAGAAAGCUUGCCUUAAAAGAGUGGAGACAUAUGGCAGAAAACUACUACUGUGGCUCUCUUCCUUUCCCAACUCAGUUUUGUGAUCUGUUUUAGAAGUGUGAGGCUCAAAGACAUCUAAAAACCUCACUCAUUUGUGCAGAUCCUUCCUUGUUCUGGUUCCAAUUUGAAUUGACUCAGGUUUUGCUCUCCAGAGGCUGCCCUGGCUAGAGAGGCCCUCCUCUGUCAAGCAUAUCCCACAAUGGCUGAGCCCACAGGAAACUCAGGGACCUUCUGGAAUAAGUCAGACCCUGAAGUAUCAAAGCUUACAAGAAAGAAAACUGGAGAUCAUCCAGCCUCAGCUUUCCAAAUUGAGAGGAAAGCGACAGAGAUGAAGUGACCUGAGUCACUGAGGAGCUUCUGCUUGGAGGCAUCAUCUGCUGCUGUCUGACACCAGGGUAGCUGCAGAUGGGGAAACUGAGGCACAGAGAAGUUGGACAAACUUGCCUGAGGUCAUAGAGCUAACAGAGGCAGGGCUGGGUUCUGUUCUUUCCUGCUCUUCUGGAAUGUUUACCAGGGUGGCUAAGAAAGUGGCCAUUCCCAACCAGCUGGACUGAGCCUCAGGGAAGACCAGCCUCUGGAUGACCCAGCAGGUAUGUGGGCCCCCAAGGGUCACAUCAUGGCCAAAGGGGAAACCUACCAAGGCCAGGAGCCUGUCCUUGAACUGGGCCUGUCUCAGUGGGGUCAGCCGGGGCCAUGGCCUCUGAAGUUUAGUUGUGAGACAUCCCUAGGUUUCCCUUUCUAGUACGUGGGCCCUGGAGGCAGUUUCUUUGCUGGCUGGCUAAUGCCACAUCAAAGGCCUGAGAUCCUCAGCCUUGCUGAUGCCACCUCCAACACAGAUGCCGGGUUGUCCUGAGCCAUUAGGCUAUGUGCCCGGGGGCAGGGCCCUGGUACCCCGUGCACUGAUAAUUGUGUCCAAGCAUGCAGAGGCAUUUGCCUAGUGAGGACAAUGACAUAUCUACUUGUCAUCAUCUCAGAAGAGGCCCUCAGCCUUUGGGAACACAUCAGAGCCGAUGUACCCUCCCCCUCCAUCCCUCUAACCUCACCCCCUAAAGGCUCUGAGGACAUUGAGGGGCUCCAUUUCCACAGUGACUGCUGUUAUAUGUCAGAGAGGGGGGCUCUUUAACUGUCUGUUAAGGACUAUUUUCAGAAUAAAUUUCAGAACUUAACUAGGAAAGUUGACCAGGUAAACACAUAGGUAGGUUUUCUGGUGUCAGAGAUGUAUGUUUCAAAUGUUUCAUCAACAAAUCUACAAUUAAUUGCCUGGCAUCCUGCUGCUUCUUUUGUGUGAAGCUGGGAGCCCAGGUGAGGAUCUUUGCUUGGAGAGGAAAGAAAUGAGCAGCAGCCUCACCCUGUGUGUGAGUCAAGGUCUUAGGGAAAUCCUAGGAUGACAGGGAUAGGUCGGUAGCUUAGUGUGCAUCCCUUCCUGGAGGCUGGUGUCCCUUGGGUUUGCAGCUGAAUAUCACUGCAAAGAAAGGCUGCCCGAGGAGGUAGCUCUGUGGUAAAGACUUUGUGCAGCUCCUCGGAUGGGCCUAGAAGACAAAACAGGGCAGCUGGCUGUCACGUGCAUCUGCAACUUCAGUGGGGAUCUGAACCAUCAAGAACACCAUCCUAUCCGUGGGCAAGAGCACCUUGCUCUAUGGGAUCAGCCGUCAUGAGAAAGGUGGUAUAGAAGCAGCAGGAGCAAUGGCAGCUGAAAUCUGCAGCUGGUUUUCACUCUCACCAGGAGAAGCAAGAUGUUCGAUUCCUUCCCCAGGAGAAACAAGGCUAACCCUCUGCAGAAUUCUUAGACAAACUGAAGAGGCAAUACUGGCCCAGAGCAUGAACUGCACUAACCGAGGAUGCAGGAGGCUGACUGGGUUUCAGUCACCCACAACGUGCACCAUGAGCCUGAAUUCAGCUUUGACUUCUGGGACCACAUGUGUGGCCCUUGAAGAUGAGCCAUGCUGGGCAGAGAUCAUGAACAGGACCUAAGAUGGCCACCAACAUGUUCUUCCUAGAAAUGACAACUACAGUGUCCUCCUAAGCCUGAAUCUAAUCUUCAUUUCUUACUGGAGCUAUGCAAAAGAGGGAGAAACAGCAGCAGAAAGGCCUGUCCCAAAGCUGCUCCCUUGGGACCCCUGGGGUGAUGACAACCUUCCAUGUAUUCAAAACACCUGACCAAGAGGCCUGAGUAUGCAGUGCAGGAAGGACUUGAAGGUUCUUUCUUACAUGCAAGAUUGCACAGAAAUCCCUUUUUGAUGCCAGAACUUCCCUUGCCCCAGGGAGCUGGUGUGGAAGGGCCUGCGUGUGCUUCGAGUCCGACAGGGUGGCCUAGCUCGGUGGUUGCAGAGCUCCAGUUUGAAAUGGAGGAGCUGGAGCCCUGUCCUCAGGAUGAGGAAGGCAAAGAGGCCCCAACGACAAUGUGGAGACACACAGCGGAGAGAGUGAGGAGCACAUGGCAAGACUGAUUCUAGUCACCGCCAGCUCCCAGGCUGGGUGGCACUCAGUGUGUUGUUGACCCCCAAGUCCUGUAAGGACAGUUGCUCAGGGGUUGGAGUGACUCUUAGAGUGUGGUCUGACCAGGAAGAGUAGGGUUUGCCUGCAGCUCUGCCCCCCAGCUGGGCCGGGCCUCCCCUUAGUGUCCUAUCCUCUGCUAUAGUGCACUGGAGCCAAGACAUCAGGCCCCGCCACCUCGCUGCCCAGUGCCCUACUACAUAGAGCCCAGACUUGGCUCCCUGAAGCUGGCCCAGUGGACCCAAGUAGAAUCUAAUCACAGUGCCUGCCAUUUUUCACAACUAAGACAAAGAUUUUGUUAGGCCAGAUUCUACUGACCAGCCCAGCAAAGAAUUAACCCUUACCCAUGACAUAGUUGGUGUCAAACACUUCCCUCUGGACAUAGAGCAGUACCCCAUAAGCUUCAAUUUUAAUUCUUUUUGAAACUGGCAUUUUAAACCUCAGAGAUUUUAUUUUAUACAUGCAGUGAAUGUUUACAUAAAAAACACUUUUAUUAAAGGACAUUGCCAAGAAUGAUAGGAUAAAUCAAGCAAGGGAGAAUAGUUUGAGAACUCUGAGGGUGAUUAAUGGCAAUGUGUCUUAUAAUAAAAUUUUUAAAAAUUUCAUUGUAUUUUUUAAAUCACAUCUAGUAUGCUUGCGGAGUCUUCAGACAACACAGAGGAAUACAAAGAUCCUAAAAGGGAGAAAGGACCUUUCUGUGCCACUUUCUCUGGAGUGCUCGUCCACCAAAAGAACAAAUGUCCAAAAUCCGAGGCUGCCCCUCAACUCUGCAGG
ensembl:lncRNA